AUCUAUAAGAACUACAAACAUUUUGGCAAGCCUUGAAGACUCACAGAGUAGCACAUCAUCAGAUGUGAUAGAUGCCCAGCACUGAGUAGAAGCUCCUGUACUUAAAGAGAAACUAGGAGAUUUGAGUUAUGGAUUGCAGGCUGAUUGUCCUGGUCUUUACAGGAACAGUGCUCCAUGCUGCGUUUGCCCAAACUCGUCAAUACUACUUUGUGAACAGAACUCUGAACUGGACAGAUGCUCAAAGUGUCUGCAGACGGGACUACACUGACCUGGCCACCAUAGAAAGUAUAGCAGACGUUGAAGCUGUUAAUCGGGCCACAUCAAACUACACUGGUUUCGGGUGGAUAGGUCUAUAUGAUGACUUGGUAAACUCCUGGAAAUGGUCCAUAGAUGACAGUAGCUUUUAUGGUGAUGGAGAGACUGACUUUAGAAACUGGAACUCAGGCCAGCCCAAUAAUCUUGAUGGACAACAGCACUGUGUACAACUAUUGAG